CCUACGGGGGGCAGCAGUGGGGAAUAUUGCACAAUGGGCGCAAGCCUGAUGCAGCCAUGCCGCGUGUGUGAAGAAGGCCUUCGGGUUGUAAAGCACUUUCAGCGGGGAGGAAGGCGGUGAGGUUAAUAACCUCAUCGAUUGACGUUACCCGCAGAAGAAGCACCGGCUAACUCCGUGCCAGCAGCCGCGGUAAUACGGAGGGUGCAAGCGUUAAUCGGAAUUACUGGGCGUAAAGCGCACGCAGGCGGUCUGUCAAGUCGGAUGUGAAAUCCCCGGGCUCAACCUGGGAACUGCAUUCGAAACUGGCAGGCUAGAGUCUUGUAGAGGGGGGUAGAAUUCCAGGUGUAGCGGUGAAAUGCGUAGAGAUCUGGAGGAAUACCGGUGGCGAAGGCGGCCCCCUGGACAAAGACUGACGCUCAAGUGCGAAAGCGUGGGGAGCAAACAGGAUUAGAUACCCUAGUAGUC
rnacentral:rRNA from 1 species